AUCAACUUUCGAUUGGUAGGAUAGAGGCCUACCAUGGUGGUAACGGGUAACGGGGUGUUAGGGCACGACACCGGAGAGGGAGCCUGAGAAACGGCUACCACAUCCAAGGAAGGCAGCAGGCACGCAAAUUACCCAAUCCCGACACGGGGAGGUAGUGACAAUAAAUAACAAUACAGGGUUCUUUUGGAUCUUGUAAUUGGAAUGAGUACAAUUUAAAUCUCUUAACGAGGAACAAUUGGAGGGCAAGUCUGGUGCCAGCAGCCGCGGUAAUUCCAGCUCCAAUAGCGUAUAUUAAAGUUGUUGCAGUUAAAAAGCUCGUAGUUGAAUUUCGGGAUCAAUAUUUCGGUCAUGCCGUUGGUAUGCACUGUUAUCAUUGAUUUCUCACCUUCUAAAGAACCGUAAUGCCAUUAAUUUGGUGUUACGGGGAAUUAGGACUGUUACCUUGAAAAAAUUAGAGUGUUUAAAGCAGGCUCACGCUUGAAUACAUUAGCAUGGAAUAAUGAAAUAGGACAUCCGAUUCUAUUUUGUUGGUUUCUAGGAUCGAUGUAAUGAUUAAUAGGGAUAGUUGGGGGCAUUAGUAUUCAAUUGUCAGAGGUGAAAUUCUUGGAUUUAUUGAAGACUAACUACUGCGAAAGCAUUUGCCAAGGAUGUUUUCAUUAAUCAAGAACGAAAAGUUAGGGGAUCGAAGACGAUCAGAUACCGUCGUAGUCUUAACCAUAAACUAUGCCGACUAGGGAUCGGAUGAUGUUAAUUUUUUAAUGACUCAUUCGGCGCCUUUACGGGAAACCAAAGUGUUUGGGUUC
rnacentral:rRNA from 1 species